rnacentral:rRNA from 1 species
GGCCGCGGGAAUUCGAUUCAGGCCUAACACAUGCAAGUCGAGCGAGUGGAUUUCCUUCGGGAAAGAAGCUAGCGGCGGACGGGUGAGUAACACGUGGGCAACCUGCCUCAUAGAGGGGAAUAGCCUCCCGAAAGGGAGAUUAAUACCGCAUAAGAUUGUAGCUUCGCAUGAAGUAGCAAUUAAAGGAGCAAUCCGCUAUGAGAUGGGCCCGCGGCGCAUUAGCUAGUUGGUGAGGUAACGGCUCACCAAGGCGACGAUGCGUAGCCGACCUGAGAGGGUGAUCGGCCACAUUGGGACUGAGACACGGCCCAGACUCCUACGGGAGGCAGCAGUGGGGAAUAUUUAAGAAUGGGGGAAACCCUGAUGCGGCAACG